rnacentral:rRNA from 1 species
UGAUCCUGGCUCAGAUUGAACGCUGGCGGCAGGCCUAACACAUGCAAGUCGAACGGUAACAGGAUAGCUUGCUAUCGCUGACGAGUGGCGGACGGGUGAGUAAUACUUAGGGAUCUGCCUCUGUGUGGGGGAUAACUAUUGGAAACGAUAGCUAAUACCGCAUAAUGUCUACGGACCAAAGCGGGCUUCGGCUCGUGCGCAGAGAGGAACCUAAGCGAGAUUAGCUAGUUGGUGAGGUAAAGGCUCACCAAGGCGACGAUCUCUAGCUGUUCUGAGAGGAAGAUCAGCCACACUGGAACUGAGACACGGUCCAGACUCCCACGGGAGGCAGCAGUGGGGAAUAUUGCACAAUGGGGGAAACCCUGAUGCAGCCAUGCCGCGUGUGUGAAGAAGGCCUUCGGGUUGUAAAGCACUUUCAGUUGUGAGGAAAGUUUAGUAGUUAAUACCUGCUAGAUGUGACGUUAGCAACAGAAGAAGCACCGGCUAACUCCGUGCCAGCAGCCGCGGUAAUACGGAGGGUGCGAGCGUUAAUCGGAAUUACUGGGCGUAAAGCGCACGCAGGCGGUCUGUUAAGCUAGAUGUGAAAGCCCCGCGCUCAACGUGGGAGGGUCAUUUAGAACUGGCAGACUAGAGUCUUGGAGAGGGGAGUGGAAUUCCAGGUGUAGCGGUGAAAUGCGUAGAGAUCUGGAGGAACAUCAAUGGCGAAGGCAACUCCCUGGCCAAAGACUGACGCUCAUGUGCGAAAGUGUGGGUAGCGAACAGGAUUAGAUACCCUGGUAGU